UACGGGGGGGGCAAGCGUUGUUCGGAAUUACUGGGCGUAAAGGGUCUGUAGGUGGCCAACUAAGUCAUACGUGAAAUCCCUCAGCUUAACUGGGGAACUGCGUCUGAUACUGGUUGGCUUGAGUGCAGGAGAGGAACGCGGAAUUCCAGGUGUAGCGGUGAAAUGCGUAGAUAUCUGGAGGAACACCGGUGGCGAAGGCGGGUCUCUGGGCCGAAAUUGACGCUGAGGAGCGAAAGCGUGGGGAGCAAACAGG
rnacentral:rRNA from 1 species